rnacentral:rRNA from 1 species
GCUGGUGGUUUUAGCGAAGUGGUAAUACCCAGCUCCAUUCCGAACCUGGAAGUCAAGCACUUCUGCGCUGAUAAUACUGCAGGGCCCCCCUGUGGAAACGUAGGUCGCUGCCAGCU